CCCUUAGAUGUUCUGGGCCGCACGCGCGCUACACUGAUGCAUUCAACGAGCCUAUCCUUGACCGACAGGUCCGGGUAAUCUUUGAAUCUGCAUCGUGACGGGGAUAGAUUAUUGCAAUUAUUAAUCUUCAACGAGGAAUGCCUAGUAGGCGCAAGUCAUCAGCUUGCGUCGAUUACGUCCCUGCCCUUUGUACACACCGCCCGUCGCUCCUACCGAUUGAAUGGUCCGGUGAAGCCUCGAGAUUGUGGCCAGCUCGCUUUAUUGGGAGUUGGUUGCGAGAACUUGUCUAAACCUUAUCAUUUAGAGGAAGGUGAAGUCGUAACA
rnacentral:rRNA from 1 species